rnacentral:lncRNA from 1 species
AGUUUAAUAACAACAAUGGCUGGAUCCAUUUAGCCGCGGCCAUUUCCCUCAAAUUUUUUAGUGGUCUGCUGUCGCUUACUUCGGUGUCUGUCGCUUUCUGAGUAUACUUCCGGAAAAUUUUCAGAAAACUAGCAAGUAAUGCAGAGGAGACGGCGGUUUCUCUGCUCCCUUGGUUCCAGGCUUCUCUGUCCCUUUGUUCCAGGUUUAACUGUUCCCUUGGUUCCAGGCUUUUCACUUCGCAGCAGACAGACAGCAACUAGGACGAUUAAGUGGAUUCAGGUUAGGUUGACGAAUUCAAAUUUAGCUGCUGCGUGCUGUCUGCAAGGAAGCAAUCCAAUUGGCUGUCGCUAGGUGGCGCUAGUCAAUCUUCAGGGACUAAAUUCGGCCAUUGUGAUCCUUGACGCAGCAGAAGUGAGGUGCCGGUCGUGACGUUUCCCAAAAUGAAAAGGUGAUUUCAAUACCAAUUUGUUAAAUCAUCUAACUCGGACUUGAGUGCCUGUUCAUUUUGCCGUUCAUUUUGCCGAAAUGUGCCUCGUGUGUCUUGCUGCCUGUACACGUACGUCUCGUCCCAUGCAAAAGCAAACGUUCGCUGUUGGUUACCUACUUACCUUGUUGCAGCCUGAUGGUGUAAGAUGUGAUGAAGACUAAUUGAACUGUUGUAUGCAGCGUGUGAUUCCUGUGUUAUCCAGAAGUAGCUGUGCUGGCAGUCUCCUGAAGCAGCCUGAAGCCUGAAGUUGCCAGUGAUAUCCGGGUUGCUGACUUUAAAUAUUUUUUACUGUUAUCUUUUGUGUUAUUUGCUUUGCAAGUGGUAUCCCGUGUUGCUGACUUUAAAUAUUUUUAUCUGUUUUUAUUUGUGGUUUUGCUCUGCCAGUGAUUUGCUGACUUGAAUUGGUUUCAUCUGUUGUCUUUUGCCUUCUUACUUGUGCAAUGUGCAGUAUACGAUUGUGGCAAUCUGACCCCAUGUCAGAUUUGACAUAGUCGA